CGAUUUUGUUCUUUCUUUCUUCUUCGUGUAAGUGCGAAGAUGCUCUACAACUCUUUGUUAUACAAUUUUCAGAGCCUGCAAAUUUUGGUAACGGAUGCUCUCUCUAUCUCGGAAUUAUGCUACUGUAAAUCAAUGUUGAUCGACGAUACUCAGUUGUUUUAGCUCUACUGGGCAUGUCUUCUCUACAACUAAUAAUGGGAUUUUAAUUUCUGCUAUUUUAGAACCUGCAAUUUAUUUGGAGAAAAAUCCCGUCUUAUGUAAAUGUUACACACCUUGUUAUACAAUUUUCAUGGCACAAGGAUGCUCUAUCUAGAAAUUAUGCUACUGUAAGUCUUUCCCUUGUUAUGUUUAUCUGUAGCUUCAAUGGAUUAGGGGUUUACAGAAUUUUAGGAGGCUGCGAUUUGCUUUUCUGCUCUCAGGAGCUACAGUUAUGUUUAUCAGCAUACUCUCAAACUGGUAACAGCUAAUAAUGGGAUUUUCGUUUCUUCUUGUUCAGAACCUGCAAAUUUAUUUGAAAUGAAAGACCACCCUGUAAUUGAAGUAACUACAACAUUUUUCAUUUGCAGGUUGAUGCAAGUAAACGCAUUGUAGAACAAAAAACUCAGAAAACGAGAUGCAUCCUUUCUUUACUAUAGUCAUGAUCAUUCAUAUGUUUUGUGGUCAUAGGUGAGAAAUACCAAUGUGAACAAGGGCCAGAAACAUAGAGCAUCGGUUUGAUUCUUAAACAGCUCACAUGUUUUCCUGUCUUUGUAAAAGAUUUUGAUGUCGCUUUUAGUUCUUUUAUUGAAAAUUUUGGCAUUUCAUUAUUUAAGCUAAGGUAGCGUAUACAUAUCAGUCUGUUAUGUCACGCAAAGUCUCGUGCACAUCUUCUACCCCAGUUUGUCUCGUGCACAUCUUCUACCCCAGUUUUUUUUGUUUUUUUUACUGUUUCAGAACCUGCAAAUUCAAGAUAAUGAAGAAGCAGCCAUUUAAAGGAAUAAUUCCAUCCACUAAGGUUAUUAUUUAUACUAGUUUGAUUGAAGUCCGAUCGUAUGCAAUAGAUAUACAAAAUCCAGACGAGAUACAUGCUAUCGUCCAAGCUUAAACAAUUGCAUUUUCGUUCAAAGAACCAGCAAAUCUGCUCUAUAAUGUGUAGAAGACAAAAAUCAAUGGCGCAAGGAUGAUCUCUAUCUCGCGGAAUUAUUUUACUCUUUGUUAUACAUUUUUCAAUGGAUUAGGGGUUCACAGAAUUUUAUGGGGCUGCGAUUUGCUUCUCUUCUCUUCUCAGGAGUUGAUAUAGCAUACUCUCAAGUCUCAAAACUGGUUACAGCUAAUAAUGGGAUUUAGAACCUGCAAUUUAUUUGAUUUGUCAAGUAAGAUAAGACCACCCUCUGCACUACAAGUAACUAAAACAUUUUUAUUUGCAGGUUGAUGCAAGUAAACGUAGAACUCCGCUUAUGUAGCUCCUCUACUCAGCAAACUCUUAAGCAAUUACUUCUGGGUUUAUGUUGCUACACCUGCAAUUUUCGGAGGCAAUUAUUCCUUAAUUGCCGUGGGCUCCAGAUUUCUAUAAGCAGCUACGGUAAGGUAAUCUUGAAAUAGCUUUUCACUACGAAGCAUAAAAUUCCACUAAAGAAUAUAAUUUCACUACGAAUUAUGCAAGUCUUCUCCUUUGUCUUGUUUUUGUUGCACAAAGAUGCAUCCUUUCUUUACUAUACCUGAUAAUGACGAGUCAUGAGCAUUCAUAUGUUCUUCUGGGCAUAUUAAGAUGGAAAAGAGUAAUGCCAAUGUCACUAAGGGCCAGAAACAAAG